rnacentral:rRNA from 1 species
AUUGAACGCUGGCGGCAUGCUUUACACAUGCAAGUCGAACGGCAGCGCGGGGCAACCUGGCGGCGAGUGGCGAACGGGUGAGUAAUAUAUCGGAACGUACCCAAGAGUGGGGGAUAACGUAGCGAAAGUUACGCUAAUACCGCAUACGAUCUAUGGAUGAAAGCAGGGGACCGCAAGGCCUUGUGCUCCUGGAGCGGCCGAUAUCUGAUUAGCUAGUUGGGAGGUAAAGGCUCACCAAGGCGACGAUCAGUAGCUGGUCUGAGAGGAUGAUCAGCCUCACUGGGACUGAGACACGGCCCAGACUCCUACGGGAGGCAGCAGUGGGGAAUAUUGGACAAUGGGCGCAAGCCUGAUCCAGCCAUGCCGCGUGGAUGAUGAAGGCCUUAGGGUUGUAAAGUCCUUUCGGCGGGGAAGAUAAUGACGGUA